CUUCAGUUAGAUUAUGAUGUAAAGAGAACACAGAAUAUCCAGAGGCCCGGGGCAGUGAAGGUGGCCCUGGGGACAGGAAAGGGAGCCUGCAGUGCGUCCUUCUCUGACCGUGAGGACCGGUCCUGGCCUCCUCUGACGGGGCAGAACAUCCUUCCAACACUCCAGCCCCUUUGUGUGUGAAGCAGAGACCGAAAUAGCAGCACAGAUGAAAGCAAACCACAAAACAGCCCUGUCUUCAUGGCUUCCUUCCUGCUGCUUCUGAACCCGCCGCACUGCCGCGCACUGGUUGGAUAAAAAAGGUUUCCGCGGGGCUGGAUUUAAAUAGAAAGGAAGACUGUUGCACAGCUUUAAAACGAAAAGAGUAGAAGAUGAUAUAGAAAAGGCAGAGGGAACCUAAUUAUGUCUACAUAUACUGCCAGAAAGGGCGAUAUACUGUCUUCAGUUUCUAAGCCUUCUUACUCACCAAAUAUUGUGCACUGGACACUGGAGAAGCCUCUGUCGGUGACCUACAGCAUGUUGCCUGUCCUGCUGCUGGCACCUCAUGGAGCUGUCUGGACCCAUUUUCUCUGCUCACAAAGCUCCCAGACUGCUUGACUCUCCACUUCUGAUGUCAGCUUUGCACAGCUUUAUUUUCUGUCAGUGGACGCUGGUUUCCGGCAUCUGGUUGUUCAAAACCCUGUUCCAUCACUUACUACCUAUGCGACUUCAUUCUUCGAAGCCUCCCAUUUUUAUACAUGAAAGGGAGAUGGUACCAUCUCUAGGCCCUCAAUAGUGAUCAAAGGGAGGUGGUAAUAUCUCUAGGCCCUCAAUAGUGAUCAAAGGGAGGUGGUAAUAUCUCUAGGCCCUCAAUAGUGAUCAAAGGGAGGUGGUACCAUCUCUAGGCCCUCAAUAGUGAUCAAAGGGAGGUGGUAAUGUCUCUAGGCCCUCAAUAGUGAUCAAAGGGAGGUGGUAAUAUCUCUAGGCCCUCAAUAGUGAUCAAAGGGAGGUGGUACCAUCUCUAGGCCCUCAGUAGUGAUCAAAGGGAGGUGGUAAUAUCUCUAGGCCCUCAAUAGUGAUCAAAGGGAGGUGGUAGUAUCUCUAGGCCCUCAAUAGUGAUCAAAGGGAGGUGGUAAUAUCUCUAGGCCCUCAAUAGUGAUCAAAGGGAGGUGGUACCAUCUCUAGGCCCUCAAUAGUGAUCAAAGGGAGGUGGUAAUGUCUCUAGGCCCUCAAUAGUGAUCAAAGGGAGGUGGUAAUAUCUCUAGGCCCUCAAUAGUGAUCAAGGGAGAAUAAACAUCGACUCACUUAACAGGUCUCUGGAGCAGAGAAGGCAGACAGAUUUCAAAAUAUUGUUAUUUCAAAUAUGUUGCUCCUUGGCACAAAAUGGAUUUCUAAACUGCACAUAAAACCUGUAAAUAUGAUUUUUAAACUUCGGAAUAAGGAGGCUGGAAAGCUCUCCUACGAGGAUA
ensembl:lncRNA